CGGGCUGGAACCUCUCGGGGUUACAGCCUUGCUGAAUUAUUCACCCUUGUCUUUUGCGUACUUCUUGUUUCCUUGGUGGGUUCGCCCACCACUAGGACAAACAUAAACCUUUUGUAAUUGCAAUCAGCGUCAGUAACAAAUUAAUAAUUACAACUUUCAACAACGGAUCUCUUGGUUCUGGCAUCGAUGAAGAACGCAGCGAAAUGCGAUAAGUAGUGUGAAUUGCAGAAUUCAGUGAAUCAUCGAAUCUUUGAACGCACAUUGCGCCCUUUGGUAUUCCAAAGGGCAUGCCUGUUCGAGCGUCAUUUGUACCCUCAAGCUUUGCUUGGUGUUGGGCGUCUUGUCUCUAGCUUUGCUGGAGACUCGCCUUAAAGUAAUUGGCAGCCGGCCUACUGGUUUCGGAGCGCAGCACAAGUCGCACUCUCUAUCAGCAAAGGUCUAGCAUCCAUUAAGCCUUUUUUUCAACUUUUGACCUCGGAUCAGGUAGGGAUACCCGCUGAACUUAAGCAUAUCAAUAAGC
rnacentral:rRNA from 1 species